GCCUACGGGGGGCAGCAGUGGGGAAUAUUGCACAAUGGGGGAAACCCUGAUGCAGCGACGCCGCGUGAGUGAAGAAGUAUUUCGGUAUGUAAAGCUCUAUCAGCAGGGAAGAUAGUGACGGUACCUGACUAAGAAGCCCCGGCUAACUACGUGCCAGCAGCCGCGGUAAUACGUAGGGGGCAAGCGUUAUCCGGAUUUACUGGGUGUAAAGGGAGCGCAGGCGGCGUGGCAAGUCAGAUGUGAAAACCCGGUG
rnacentral:rRNA from 1 species